CUUCACUACAGUUCUGAGUGAAGGCAGAAAAGGUACCAAGAUGACACUGGCACGCCAGUCUCCGUCGCAAGCCAUGCCGAGUACACCUACAUUUUGGGCAAAGAAGGAGCUAACUGAGUUUUCUGGGAAGACCUAUGAUGGUACUUUACAGCUAUGCAGAAAAGGCAAACUUCCUGCCAACAAGCCCCAUCCAAAUGAACAAGUAAACUACAAGGACAGUUGCCUGGCAGGUAAAUAAAAGUGGAGAUGUUUGGCUUUCAUACUUUUAGUUGUAUUUCAUUUACUGAAACUGAUUUAAUUAUUUAUUUUUAAAUAUUGAAAACUCUCACCCUGAGGUGAACAAACAGAGGAGAAAAAUUCCACCGAGACCGAGAAAUGAGAAGCUAAUGUGCUGUAACAUGGCUAUAAAUCUGCCACCAAAUAACACAGGAAUACUGAGGAGCUUGAUCCUGUAAAGCUCUGCCCUACAAGAGGAGUCUUGCUCAGGCAAGCAGGCGCAAUGCAGUCAAGCCAGAGCAGGUUAAUUCCAGUUUGCUAACUGUGCUGCAGUGAAGACAAGCCCUGAGAGGCCGAAGACUAAAGGGACUUAGAAGUGGGUCAGAUUUGCAAGGUAAUGCGUGGAGGCUUGUGUUGGGGCUGCUGGUGCUUUAUAUAUUCUUGGGAUAAAUGAGUAUUUUGGUGUCUGCAGCUGCUUUGGGCAACUUUCACCAGUGCUGAAAUUACUACUGUUCUCUUUGAAUUUCUUCUUUCCUAAGGAAAAUGCCUAAG